rnacentral:lncRNA from 1 species
UACCAUUACAAAUCUCUCUCUCUCUCUCUCUCUCUCUCUCUCUCUCUCUCUCUCUCUCUUUCUCUGCGUGUGUGUCUCUCCCUCUCUCUGUCUGUCUGUCUGUGUGUGUGUGUCUCUCUCUCUCUCUCUCUCUCUCUCUCUCUCUAUCUGUCUCUCUCUCUCUCUCUGUCUGUCUGUGUGUCUCUCUCUCUCUCUCUCUCUGCGUGUGUGUCUCUCUCUCUCUCUCUCUGUCUCUGCGUGUGUGUCUCUCUCCCUCUCUCUCUCUCUCUGCGUGUGUGUCUCUCCCUCUCUAUCUCUCUCUCUCUCUCUCUGUCUCUCUCUGUCUCUCUCUCUCUCUCUGCGUGUGUGUCUCUCCCUCUCUCUCUCUCUCUCUCUCUAUCUGUCUCUCUCUCUCUCUCUCUCUCUCUCUCUCUGUCUGUCUGUCUGUCUGUCUGUCUAUCUCUCUCUCUCUCUCUCUCUCUCUCUCUCUCUCUGCGUGUGUGUCUCUCCCUCUCUCUCUCUCUAUCUGUCUCUCUCUCUCUCUCUCUCUGUCUGUCUGUCUGUCUCUCUCUCUCUCUCUUUCUCUUUCUCUCUCUCUCUCUGUGUGUGUGUGUGUGUGUGUGUGUGUGUGUGUGUGUGUGUUUGUGUGUGUGUGUGUGUGUGUACAGCUACUUCUACCAUGGCUCAGUCUCUGUCAGGGAAGUCCUCCCCAGAGGAAUCUGCAGAGAAAGACCUCUGUGUCUCUGAGCUUAAGGAGAAAGAGCUCUUUGUCGCUGAGCUUCAGGCAGAGUUUCCAUUUCUGUCAGAUUACCUGAAUGGUCUAAAGGAUGAGGAAUGGGUUACCUUCCGUGAUGUCAUGGCUAAUCCUAUGACCAAGGAGGAGUUUUUCACGCUCCUGAUUAACUUGGUGAAGCACGUGGACCUGACCUCAAUGCAGGUGGUCGUACCGGCGCUCCUGAAGAUGCUGAGGGAAAUGCCCGAGAGCUUCCAGAGUGCUUCCCAAGAGCAUCCCGAGAGCUCCGUCUCUGGUCCUGGCGGCGCUCAGGACCUUCCCGGCUCUCGCCCCGACUCUCCCUCUCUCACAUAUGUCGAGGAUGAAACCGAUAUCAUGGUGCUAAAGAAUGAAGUCCUCACGGAAAUCAUUCCCAAAGUAAGAAGCAGCAGGUUAUCAUCGACUGACUCAUCGUGCCCCUCAAGAAAGAGGUCCCAGUCUUCUCUGCUGAGUCAACUUGGCGUCACCGAGGACGAUAUAAAAGAAAGUGUUCAGGACACUCUGAGCAAAAUGCAUGUGAUUGGCUCCACCACUGGGUCCGCGGGAGAGCUGAUCAAUGCCAUUGUCCAGCAGAUAGUGGUAAGCAUUAAGGCUAGCCUAGCCGAGAUGAAGAGAACUACUGGUACCAAGUCACCGAGAGCGGCUGCUCUACGGAGGAAAUCCAGCACUGAUCAGCUGGUUCAAGAAGUGUCCAGAAAGCUCUUUGAGUUUGCAAGGGCACAAGACCGGGUCUGCAUGUCUGAGCGAGAGGUUGAGUCAUCUUUGGCUUCAACAGUGAGUGAAGCAAUGACUGCAGCGAUCCAGGCUUUGGAAAGUGGUUCGGAUGACCAGGAGACCAAGGGCAAAUGGGCAAAACGGAGUCUGGCACGCAUCAAAAGAGCUGUGCCAGCUCUAAUGUGCCAAUGUGCCAGCUCCAACGUGCCAAUGUGCCAAUGUGCCUGUUCCACGGGCGUUAUUUCGGAUGUGGAGGGUGAAAAGGAGGUCAAAGAAGUGCGCAGGGAAAGUCAGAGGCCUGAGCAGAGCAUCAAAACUGUUUCCAGUGAGGAAUUUCACAGCAAGGCCAAGAAAGCGGUCAGCGAUGUUCUCAUCGGAGAACUUAAAACAUUGCACUCUGCUCCUCGUGCUCCUUCCAGUGACUCCCCAGGAGCCGGAAGUGAGGCUUCAUCUUCACGUCCUCAGCCCGUCGAGGAAGCUGCUACCAUCCUCAUCGAGACAUUCGUGGACGAGAUGAAGAAGGUGGCUCAGUCUGCUGAAUAUGCGGAUGAGCCCGUGUCUCCUGACGAUCAUCUCCUCAGCCAGACACCCGGAGUCUCCGGUGUUAAAAAGAAGGAGACGGUUCAGUUGGCGGCAGCAAAGAUUUAUGGACAAGUCCAAAUGACACUGAAGGAUUUCUUCAAGAGGCUGCCCCUCCAGCAGAGCCAACGCUGCGCCACCACACUGAGAACCGAGGACCCACAGCAAUCCGACUCAUUGGCCCCGGAUGUCCACUCUGCCGGAGACGAACAGGAAGCAGAGCUCCCAGCAAGCAGCAGGAGUGAACAAGCUCUUCCUGUGGCCGAAGCACAGAGUCCGGUGGACAUUGGUGAGGUGCGGAGCGUCAGUGGGUGCCCUUUGACCCCACUUCAGCUGGCCGCCUGCACCAGAAAUGUGUUAAAAGGAGUGGUGGCCUCCUAUCUGUCUGGACCGGAGCGAACGUCGUCUCGUGAACAGGAGGCUUCACCAGAGCUGCUGGCAGCUAAGAGCAGUUUGUUAGAAGGCGUAAUCGUCCAGUUGGAAGAUAUGGCCGGCUCUAACUCCCAUGGAUGCAAUGAGGACGAUCCCUCAAAACUGACAGGAACGGAUGUCACUGGAGGGCUUAGUAAGCCCUGCUCACUUACUAGCUUGAGAAGAUUGUCCAGUGUAGAAUUUCAAAUGAACGCUUUUGAGUCGGUUACUAAUGUGCUUGUUGCUUCAGUGCGAAGCUACUCCUCCUUAAAAUCGUACGCUUCGGACAUCGACAAAGACGAAUUCCGAGGAGUACCAUGGAACGACUUUUCCUCCAAAGAUGUGGAUGCUGUCGUCACAGAAAUAGUCAAUCAAUUUGUGAGCGACAUACAGACGCAUGCUUUCCUCGCGUCUCCAAGUCCUGACCCAGUGGACGCCUGCUCAUCUGAAGCCGAGCCACAGUCAUGGAGGAGCAAGCUUGCCCUCUCAGACAAGCCAUUCAUUUCCUCAGCUUCAAAGAUGUAUGAGAAUCUGCUAGGUAAAGUUGGCAAGUUUUUUGCUCAGUGCUCCAUCAGGUGUAACGCCCCAGGGAAGCAGCGCACAGAUGAUGAGCAUGAGAUGGAUCCGUCUCUAAAUACCAAUGAUGCAACAACACAGAGCAACAACGAUACGGUGCUUGCCAAUCCUCUCAGCCAUAGGGAAGAUGUCACUAACAUGGCCGACCUUGAUGGCUGCACGAGAGACAUGAUGUCGGAACUUUUAACGGUGCUGGAUGAAGAGAGCGCAAAGGAGGACACCGAAAACCGAUCCGCUACCGUGACAACAGACAUGAUGGUGGACCCGUCCAUCCACCGUUUUGCUGAUGGAGAACAUUCUGAUAAAUCUGCUGAGAAGGAUUGCAGUGUUUCACUGACCUCAAUAACUGAGAUGAUUGAGGAAUUCUGCAGUGAGAGUGUUCAGAUGAAUGCGGUCAAGCAAGUCAGUGAAGUGUUGCUUCACUCUGCCAUCAACCUGUCAAGGCCUUCCAGCUCCUUGCAAACAGAGCACACUGCAUGUCAAGUGGUCAAAGCCGUUGUUGAAGGUGUACAGCAUAUUUUGGAGUCAACUUCAUCAUGCGUUACGAAGGAUAACACCUGCUCUGACAUCAAAGGAGACAGUGUGCCCAGUUCACAGUGUAAUGAGCGAACGAGGGAAGAUCUUAACAUACAAAUCUGGACAACCAUACGUGGGAUGUUCAGUACCUCACUGCGAAAAGUGAAGGAUUUGUUUAGGACGAGCCAGCCGCUUUACUCCAAGACCACAUGCAAAUCGUACGCACAUGCAAAGGAGGUUAUUAGCAAAGCGCUCCUCAGGAUUAGAGGAAGCCUUCUAAAGUCAGGGGAUCUUGACAGUCUAGAUAAUCUCAGCUUUGUUAAAGAGAUCAUAAAUAAUAUACUGGUAAACAUUGGAGAGGCGGAGGACCAUGCCGGACCAGAGCAAACCGCUACUGACCUCGAGAGACCGGCUUCCGCUUCAUCUAAAUGGUCAGAGAGCAGCUCCAAUUCUAGCUCUGAGAAUUUUCCCGGGGUUGUCACGGUAACAGAGGGACCUACGGAGGGCGCCGCAGAGGGACAGACGCACACGGACGUGAGCGUCAAAGACACGGAUGGACCCCAUGCUUGCAUAACUCAACAAGCAGUUGCUAGCGUGGUGAAAAUGGUGAAAGACCAGAUCGAUUUAGAGAACGGCGGGAAUUCUUCAUUACAAACGCAGGGUGGAGGUCUCAACUCGGUCGAUAAUAAACUUGAGGAAUCUCUUUCCCAUAAAGCCUUCAACUCCCUCACGGACGACUUUGUCGAUGAAAUUUAUGGCCUUUUCAGGAGCAGCAACAGAACGGCCGCCCGCAAGUCUGCGUCAGACUCCGUGCUUCUGGAGUUGGGGCACUGCAGUGCCUCAAAGAGACGCCUUGUCUCUCAACUCAUCCACGUCUACUCCGAGGAGACGGUGAAACACUACCUUCUUCCUCAUUUCAAUCUGCCUUCCUCACGGGGCGUCAGUCAGGGAGGUCUCUUAAGGCCUGCCUCGGCACCAGUGCGUUGUCCCGGCAACAGCUCCUCAUCUGAAACACCAGUCAAUGGACAAGCG